rnacentral:rRNA from 1 species
UACAGAGGUCUCAAGCGUUGUUCGGAUUCAUUGGGCGUAAAGGGUGUGUAGGUGGCGCGCUAAGUCGGGUGUGAAAUUUCGGAGCUUAACUCCGAAACUGCAUUCGAUACUGGCGUGCUUGAGGACUGGAGAGGAGACUGGAAUUCAUGGUGUAGCGGUGAAAUGCGCAGAUAUCAGGAGGAACACCGGUGGCGAAGGCGGGUCUCUGGGCCGAUACUGACGUGAGGAGCGAAAGCGUGGGGGAGCGAACAGG